UAGGGAAUAUUGGGCAAUGGGCGAAAGCCUGACCCAGCGACGCCGCGUGUGCGAUGAAGGCCUUCGGGUUGUAAAGCACUGUUGUAGGGGAAAAUUAUGAUGGUACCCUAUCAGAAAGGACCGGCCAACUUCGUGCCAGCAGCCGCGGUAAGACGAAGGGUCCUAGCGUUGUUCGGAAUUACUGGGCGUAAAGCGGGUGUAGGCGGAUUUAUAAGUCAGGUGUGAAAUCCCGAGGCUCAACUUCGGAACUGCAUUUGAUACUGUAAAUCUUGAGUACUGGAGAGGAUAGCAGAAUUCCUGGUGUAGUGGUGAAAUACGUAGAUAUCAGGAGGAAUACCGGUGGCGAAGGCGGCUAUCUGGCCAGAUACUGACGUUGAGACCCGAAAGCGUGGGGAUCAAACAGG
rnacentral:rRNA from 1 species